UGAUUUUGAAUUAAAACCCAUUCAUGUUUAGGGGGUCAUUAUUUCUGUAUUGCUGAAUGCAGGUCUAACUAGUUGAGGUGCUACCUUUGGUUAUGUUCUGUAGAGUUUUUGAUAUAUUAUUACUACUAUUAUUAUUGUCGUUAUUGCUCCUGAUGGUUUUUUCUUGCUAUUGUUGCAUCCAAUAUUUUCUCUUUCAUCUGCCCCAAGUAAUUCUAUACUUGCCUUAUUAGUUACUUCUAUUUAGGUUUAUAUGAAUUGGCUCUUCUAAAGCUUUUGACUCCAGAUACUACUUUCCUACUUUAAACUUACUCUCUGCUGUUUUACUAGUAUUGAUCUAUGCCAUAAGUUCCUGUCUAUAUUUUGCAUCUACCAUAUGCUGUUUGCAGUAAAAACAAAUUCUGCUUAUCCUAAUGCACUUGAAAGUCCGUUAGUCCUUAAUCCUACUUACCUAGUGUGCAUUUAUGAGGGCUUAUAGUUUAUGUAGAUUCAUAGGCUGCAGUGGAGAAUUGGAUAAAUCCUAAAUGUUGAGUUUAGUGCUAAAUGAGAACCUCUUUGACCAGUUAGUUGCUUUUAAGUUCUAAUCAUUGAUAUCCUGCCUCUCCUUAAGGUGACAUUGCCCUUCUCAUUAUGGAAACAUCAUUAGGAAGGACCUGCUUCAACCCCGGAGAAAGCUAUCAGAACAAAUUAUUGGAAUAUCUAUUGCUUCAUUGCUGUUGAAUAAUGUAUUAUUGUGAUAAUGGGUUUUAGGGGUUAUAUUCAAACAGACCCUUAAGCCCUUAGGGACUACUUAGACUACUGUAAGGACUACUUAUUUUGCUAUAAAUAGAGGAGGACUGUGCCCAUUAAGGCACAAGUCCAUUCCCCAAAAAUUCUUCAUUGUAUUAGAGCAAGUCUGAUCAUCAAACCCCAAAACCCAAAACCCCAGUCCAUUACCUUCUUCCUUCCCUACGUUUUAGCCUCACCGCUGCUGCCAAGCCCCACGCCCUUCCUUGUCGUUGCCAAUAACCUCAAAACCUUCUCGUGGCAUGCCACACAUUCCUCCUACCCAACACCUUACAGCCCAACCCUGCAUCGCAACCUUGCACCACCAAGAGCGUACGACCCUUGCCAAACCAGAGGAUAAUCUUGCCAAACCUUCGAUCCUCGCCAAACCAGAGGAUAAUCCCGCCAACCUGCGAUCCUUGCCAAACUAGCGAUCCGCAUGAACACUUCGUCACCCACAUCCCUACAAUCCUGCACAACCAAGAACCUCUACAACAACUUGCGAUCCUUGCCACAUGAACCUUUCGCCAAAUCUAUGAGCAUCACGAACCCCUCUGCGAGCAUCAUGAACCUCCUACGAGCAUCAUGAACCUCCCUGUGACCAUCAUUGUUGCAACCCUCGCUGCCAAUCCUGCAACCAUCAUUGCUGCAACCCUCCUUGCACAACCGAACCCAACCGCACUACAACCAAACCAAUCGUUGCCACUAAACCUCAUCACAGCAACCUCUCGACACUACCAGUUGUAAUUCUCUGCACUAUUACUAGCAGCACAACUCCUAAUCGUAAUCCUCCAACUCCACCAAACCAUAAUCCUACUCCUAACUUGACUCAAACUAAGGGACCCACCCCUAUCGAGGUAGCGUCCCGAAGGUUGCCGAAGGCAAGGAAGACAUCGCUUGCACGAGGAAACUUCGCAGCCAUCCCAGCUUGCGUUAGUUACAAGGUCCGUUCGCUAACUCUACUUCAUGCUACUUUCGGUUGUGUGAAGCGAGUGUCUUUAGCCUAAUAAACCAACUACACUAAACCAUAAUCCUAUCCUAAACCGACUACAACUAACCCAACUAAACCUAGCCCAAAACCAACUCCUAAACCAAGUAGACCCACUCCUAACCUAACUUGACCUAACCCAAACCAACUUUAACACCCAAGCCCACCUUAACACCUAAACCGACACCUCCCACCCCACCCUACCCCUUAUGCGCUAACCUAUCCACCUCACCCUAUCGACACCUCUACGUCUACACUACCUUGCGGCUUGCGCCCCAAAAUUCCUUUGUAAGGAGGGGCGAUUUUGUCUCUCAUAGGCUCUCUCCCUAGUGGGCCAUUGUCUUAGUGUCAUUGAUACCCUGUAUCUAUGCUUGAUUAGAUUUGGCUUGGUCGUCUUUUCUUGUGCUUGCUUAUUGACUCUGCACCCAUGGAGUCUGAGGAUUCUGGGAUAUCAGUUACUUAGGAAGGUGGGGGACGUUCCUCUAGUCAUGACUAUCUUCUCUUCCCUACUAGCACCAUCAAGUUGGAUGGCAACUACUAUCUGAUUUGGUUUCGAUCUUACUACCUGUCGAUUCUUGGUCGUGGUUAUACCGGGUUUCUCACAGGUGAUUUAGUAUGCCCUCCUACUGCUGGUUGUGCUCAAGACAAAUGGGACGUUGCCAAUUGGAUGGUGAUGUCCUAUUUCCAAUUGGAUGGUAAUGUCCUAUCUUAUUAAUUAUAUGUCCUCUUCUAUUGCUCGGACAUAUCUAUUACUUGAUUUUGCUGCUAAGAUUUGGAAGGCCGCUAAGGCCACCUAUUACCACAUGGGCAAGCGUUCCCAGUGUUUUGAACUAAGGAAGAAGGUUCAUCGGGAUACUCAAAAAGAGCUUUAUGUGGCCCAAUAUUACUCUGAUAUGUAGGGUAUGUGGAAUAAGAUUGAUUAUUAUGAGACUUAUCAACCUGUUUUUGAGAUUGAUGUUGCGUUUAAGAAGCGUGAGGAGGAGCUCCGCGUUUAUGAUUUUCUGGUAGGUUUCAAUAUGGAAUAUGAUUAGAUUAGGACUAUUGUACUUAAUCGUGAUCCCUCACCCAUACUCGAGGAAGCAUAUUCAUCAUUGAGGUUGAGAAACGUCGAUUUGAGAUGUUAUAGCUUGUUUCUCAGGAUCGAUCCGCUUUGGAUCCUGUUGCUGGUAUAGGUUCCCGGAUUACUACUUCAUUCUCUUCCGACAAACCAGUUGUCAAGUGUGACUAUUGUGGCAAGGAGCGUCACACUAUGGAGACUUGUUGGAAGCUCUAUGGACAUCUUGCUAACUCUCGUGGGCGUAAUUAGGGUCGUGGGAAGAACUCCCAAGCGAAUCAGCCAGAAACUACAGGUGACUUAGAUAGCUUUACUAAUGCCGGUGCCUCUUCUACUGAUGAAAUGGCUAUGCUUCGUCAUAUGUUGACUUAGAUGGGAUCUUCUACUGUUGCUACUGCUUCCUCUAUACCAACAAUCAUUGUUUCCCUCUCCGUCCACUCAGGUAUCAUAUUUUGUGGCCAUAGUGCACUUGUAUCCUCGUCCUAGAUAAUUGACUUUGGGGCUACUGAUCACAUGACCGGUUUGCACUCCUUUUUUUCUACCUAUUGUCCCUCUUUAGGUAAUACCAACGUUUGUGUCGCUGAUGGUUCCCUUUCCCCUAUUGCUGGAUCGGGUUCCAUUCAGUGCUCUCCUUCGUUAUCAUUGUCUUAUGUGUUACAAGUUCCUAAGUUUACUACCGAUUUAUCAUCCAUUGGUAGUAUUAUUAAAGAUUUGAAUUGUAAAGUCACUUUCUUUCCUACUCACUGUGUUUUUCAAGGCUUGGUGAUGGGGGCAACGAUUGGCAAUGGUAGAAUGAGUUGUGCUCUCUAUUACCUGAACACUGGUCUCUCAUGGGCUCUACAAACUUCAUUUGUUUUGGCACUCUCAGAACUUUUAGGUUGGCAUCGCAGUCUUUGUCACCCCCUAUGGGGCACUUUGGUUAGAUUAUUUCCAGCAUUAGUUAGACAUUGUUCUAUGGACUAGUUUAUUUGUGAUGCAUGUAUUUUGACAUAACAAACUCGGACUGUUUAUCCUCUUUCUGAUAAUAGAAGUACUGUUCCUUUUGCUUUAAUUCAUUCUGAUAUUUGGGCCUUACCCGUCGUGUCUUUGUUCUGGCUAUAGAUGGUUUUAUACUUUAUUGAUUGCAAUACUCGUUCCACUUGGAUUUAUUUGUUACAUCAUAAGAGAGGUUUUUCAGUGCUUUCGGGAAUUUCAUUACAUGGUUAGCACACAGUUUGAUGCAAAACUCAAGAUACUGCGAACUGAUAAUAGAAAGGAAUAUAUGGAUGGCUCCUUCAAGUCUCACUUGGUUGAUCAUGGGAUCAUCCAUCAGACUAAUUGUGUGGUUACUCCAGAACAGAAUGACGUGACUUAACGUAAGAAUCGUCAUCUACUCGAGGUUGUUCGCUCCUUGAUAUUUGAGAUGCAAGUUCAUGCUCCCUAUUGGGAUGAGGCUGUUCUCACUGCUGCCUAUCUCAUCAAUAGGAUGCUUUCACGGUUUCAGGCAAGCUUGAUUAUCGUGGUUUCUGGUGUAUUUUUUUGGGCUAUUCUCCCACUCAGAAGGGAUACCGGUGCUAUCAUCCACCUUCUUGAUUGCUCUUUGUUUCCAUGGAUGUGAUCUUUCGUGAGAUUGAGGCUUACUUUCCACGUCUUUAGGGGUGCUCUUUGGUGGUGAAGAGGUGAUUCAAAUUCCUACUUUUGAUUGUCUUUUAUACCUUACUAUAGAUGAUGGUGCUACUCAGAGGGAUAUUGGAAUAAAGACUACUGGUUCAAAGGUUUCCAUUGGUCCAAAGGUUACUGUUUAGGGGGAGCCAUCAAUUCAGGUGCAGGAGGCUCCUAUUCAUGGGAGAGUCACAGAUUCAACAGAAAACACAGGAUGAUCCAGUGAUACAUGUAUUCUCUCGUAAAAAAAGAACUGAAACUACUUCUGCUACUCCAUUGCUUCUCGAUCCAGAGUCUUCUCUUCUAGGUAUAACGUUUCCCCUCACUUUUGUUCAGUCUUUUGAUUUUCCUAUUGCUCAUAGAAAAGGUAAUGGGACUUGUACUCAACAUCCUAUUUCUCACGUGGUGUUAUAUAAUGCUCUCUCUCCAUCAUAUUGUGCAUUUGUCUACCUUGUCCUCUUUUUCUAUUCCUAAAACUUGACAUGAGGCAAAUGCAAAACCUAAGUGGAAGAAGGCAAUGAAUGAGGAGAUGAGAGCUCUUCACAAGAAUAAUACAUGUGAUCUGGUUGUUCUUCCCCUACAAAAGUGACCAGUUGGCUGCAAAUUGGUGUUCACAGUCAAGCAUAAAGGCAAGACUGGUGGCAAAGGGCUUUACUCAGACUUAUGAGAUUGAUUAUCAGGAGACCUUUGCACUUGUAGCAAAAAUGAAUAUAGUUCGAGUUAUCAUCUCCUUUGCAGUGAACCGAGGAUGGGAGCUACAACAACUAGAUGUCAAGAAUGAUUUUAUUCAUUGAGAGUUGACUGAGGAAGUAUAUAUGGACAUUUCACCUAGAUACUCUAGUUCAGAAACACAAGGCAAGUUGUGUAGUCUGAAGAGAGCUCUGUAUAGAUUAAAGCAAUCUCCCAUGGCAUGGUUUGGUCGUUUUCACAAGGCUAUGAUAGCUGUUGGGUUUACCUAAAGUAAUGCUGAUCAUACUCUAUUUAUUAAAAGGGUGGGUGACCAGAUUACUUUGUUGAUAGUGUAUGUGGAUGAUAUUGUUACCUGCAAUGAUACAUAUGAAAUUUCUAAGCUCAAGGCCUCUCUUGGUAAGGAGUUUGAGAUCAAGGACCUAGGAAGGCUGAAAUACUUUCUUGGCAUUGAGGUGACAUAUUUAACCGAGGGAAUUGUUCUCUCCCAGAGAAAGUAUACCUUGGACCUCCUCUUAAGAGACUACUGGUAUGUUGGGGUGUAAACCCUUGGAUACUCCUAAUGGUGCUAACUCUCAUCAGAAGUAAGGAAGUUGAACCUGUUGAUAAAGGUCGGUAUCAAAGACUGGUUGAAAGACUCAUAUACCUAUCCUACACAAGACCAAACAUAGCUCAUGCAGUAAGUUUGGUGAGUCAGUACAUGCAUGAUCCCUAUUUCUCACUUAUGGUUGUUGUGAACCGUAUUCUUAGGUACUUGAAGACUGCACCAGGAAAUGGCAUUUUAUUCUCUCUACAGAUCACAUGAGGAUUAAGGCAUAUACUAAUGUUGUUCUCCAGAUGAUCGUCACUCGACUAUUGGCUACUGUACAUUUGUUGGUGGAACUUGUUUAUGUGGCGUAGUAAGAAGUAGUCAGUUGUGGCGCAGAGGCUUAGUUUCGAGCUAUGGCACAUGAGAAUUGUGAGCUACCUUGGUUGCAGUCUCGUUCAUGACCUGGGUGUUUCCAUGUAGGUGCUGAUGUUACUAUAUUGUGAUAAUAAGUCGGCCAUCAGCAUUGCACACGGCCCUGUUCAGCAUAACCGUACCAGGCAUGUCGAGAUCGAUAGACAUUUUAUCAAGGAGCAGUUAGAGCAAGGACUUAUCUAUAUUCCUUUUGUGCGAAGUGAAGAUCAGUUAGCAGAUGUUCUCACAAAGGGACUUAGUAGUAAAUCUUUUUAUUUUAUUUUGUCUAAGUUGGGGUAUGUGUGAUAUCUAUGCACCAACUUGAGAGGGAGCGUUGAAUAUUGCUUUAUUGUAAUAGGGGUUAUAUUCAAAUAGACCCUUAAGCCCUUAGGGACGACUUAGAAUACUGUAAGGACUACUUAUUUUUUAUAAAUAGAGGAGGAAUGUGCCCAUUAAGGCACAAGUCCAUUCCCCAAAA